GGGCAUAUGGUUUAGUGGUAUAAUACUCCCUUAGCAUGCAGCGUCGCCUGGCAACGUCAUACGUGGGAGUGGUCCUGGGUUCGAUUCCCAGUUUGUCCA
rnacentral:tRNA from 1 species